rnacentral:rRNA from 1 species
CGGACGGGUGAGUAAUGUCUGGGAAACUGCCCGAUGGAGGGGGAUAACUACUGGAAACGGUAGCUAAUACCGCAUAACGUCGCAAGACCAAAGAGGGGGACCUUCGGGCCUCUUGCCAUCGGAUGUGCCCAGAUGGGAUUAGCUUGUAGGUAAGGUAACGGCUUACCUAGGCGACGAUCCCUAGCUGGUCUGAGAGGAUGAUCAGCCACACUGGAACUGAGACACGGUCCAG